AUGAACGCUGGCGGCGUGCCUAAUACAUGCAAGUCGAACGAGGUGCUUGAGUAGCAAUACAAGAGUAUCCUAGUGGCGAACGGGUGAGUAACACGUUGGUGACCUACCCCAAAGUGUGGGAUAACAGUCCGAAAGGAUUGCUAAUAGCGCAUGUGGUUUUCGGAAUUAGAAACCGAUUUCUAAAGGAGCAAUUCGCUUUGGGAGGGACCUGCGUCCCAUCAGCUAGUUGGUGAGGUAAUGGCUCACCAAGGCGACGACGGGUAGGGGAACUGAGAGGGUGGCCCCCCACAAUGGAACUGAAACACGGUCCAUACACCUACGGGUGGCAGCAGUAGGGAAUAUUGCACAAUGGGCGAAAGCCUGAUGCAGCAACGCCGCGUGUGCGAUGAAGGCCUUCGGGUCGUAAAGCACUUUUCUGGGAGAUGAGAAAGGACAGUAUCUCAGGAAUAAGUCUCGGCUAACUACGU
rnacentral:rRNA from 1 species